rnacentral:rRNA from 1 species
UACGGAGGGUGCAAGCGUUAUCCGGAUUCACUGGGUUUAAAGGGUGCGUAGGUGGGCAGGUAAGUCAGUGGUGAAAUCUUUGGGCUUAACCCGAAACUGCCAUUGAUACUAUUUGUCUUGAAUAUUGUGGAGGUCAGCGGAAUAUGUCAUGUAGCGGUGAAAUGCUUAGAUAUGACAUAGAACACCAAUUGCGAAGGCAGCUGGCUACACAUAUAUUGACACUGAUGCACGAAAGCGUGGGGGAUCAAACAGGAGUUAGA